AAAUGUCUUAACUCGGAAGGAUCUGAAUCACAGGUCAUUUCAUCUGAGAUCAUUCCGCAUGUAACAGCUGGAAUCACUCACUGUUUCCCACAACGACACAAGUCAUCAGCCGCUUCCUCAAGGUCACGUCAGAGCGGUGAUGAUGAGAGGCAGACCAGCCCACCACCAUACGCGAAGAUGAGCCUCGAGGCGUGACAGUUAUUUUUUCAAACUGAGGAGUUCGGACUCCGGACCGGCAUUUCUGCUUGUUUGUACCCUGAGGAACCCAAAGGUCCCACACCAACCAUAGUGUUCAACGGCUCUCCUGAUCUUCUCAAAUCUGAAAGUAUCAACUUUAUAAUGGACAAUGUGAACUUAAUAUGUGGAAGACAUUGACAUCACAGGCUGUGGAAUGACUGUGUCACAGGUCGGAGAAGCGAACCGCCCCUGUCACGGAUCACGCUCCUCCUAGUUCCACUUCGAGGAGGUCCCAAAGCACCCCAAUGACCAGACAAACCAGAGAUAAGUAAAAUAUAGAAAUAUAAACUUUAUUUAAAUUAUUUAAAACUAAAGUGGGGAAUGGGAAAGGGAAUCUAAAAAUCUCGCUUCUCGCCCUCAGGGGGAGUAUUACGGGGCCAGGGACGUUGGAGGGGUUUCCAUGUGACUCCAGCUGGAACACCGCUACAGAGCGUAUCUGGGUGGGUUGGGCACACACCGUCGCGGCGGCCCCUGAUGGCAUCCACAAAGGUCCAAGACCCUCCUAAGCUCCUAGCCGUAGCAGAACUACGUAUUUCAGCACCCAAAGGACUAACAACCCAGCCGGCAUCUGCAGCGUAUAUCCAACGCGAUCAAACUUCACUCUGAAAAGUAACUUCCUAUACACAACCACGCCGUCCUUUCGCCCGGACCAGCCCCACACUCUUUCUGCCCGCUACCUAGCGGUCGCCGGAUCAGCAGAGCCUGCGGACUCUUCGGAGGCUGGUCUUCGUUGUGCUGCCCAAGGCGGAAGUUGACUCGCCCGAAAAUCGACCCUUCCAGUAACUUCUACCUUCUCUCUUUAUAUCCUCCUCCAUGGCGUGGCUCGCCCAACCAUCGCUCGCCACGUCACUCACACAGCUGUGCCUUGUUUCAGCGAGUGCGGGGAUUCCCGGGGAACCCGGAA